rnacentral:rRNA from 1 species
CCUACGGGAGGCAGCAGUGGGGAAUUUUGGACAAUGGGGGCAACCCUGAUCCAGCCAUGCCGCGUGCGGGAAGAAGGCCUUCGGGUUGUAAACCGCUUUUGUCGGGGAAGAAACGGUCUGCGCUAAUACCGCGGGCUAAUGACGGUACCCGAAGAAUAAGCACCGGCUAACUACGUGCCAGCAGCCGCGGUAAUACGUAGGGUGCAAGCGUUAAUCGGAAUUACUGGGCGUAAAGCGUGCGCAGGCGGCUUUGCAAGACAGAUGUGAAAUCCCCGGGCUCAACCUGGGAACUGCAUUUGUGACUGCAUGGCUGGAGUGCGGCAGAGGGGGAUGGAAUUCCGCGUGUAGCAGUGAAAUGCGUAGAUAUGCGGAGGAACACCGAUGGCGAAGGCAACCCCCUGGGCCUGCACUGACGCUCAUGCACGA